ACGAUCCGUGGUGAAGAUCGCUGUUACUUCGACUGUUAAUCGAGCGGUCGCGGGUUCGAGUCCCGCCCGGCGUUCCA
rnacentral:tRNA from 1 species